GGUCAGGUAGGCAACUAUGAUACACAUACAUAUCUUGCUGUCAGGACGCAUGGUCGGAAUCAUAAUCUGAAGAUGCCCGGGGCAGAUAACUUGUCCAAGGUCAGCAAUGCUUUCAGCUGCUAUCUUGAAAAUAGUUCAGAACAUAAUUAUCAAAAACUUUUUCCUAAACCCGUCAUUACUUACCAAUAUUCCCGGAGAAGACGCCGCGAUGCCAAGCCUCGUCCUUGUCAGAACAGUUGUUCCAGACUCCUUAUAAUCUGGAAAUGUGACAGAUCUCCAGGUAAUAUCCCUGUGUGGCCUAUUUACCUGCUACAUCUGUCGGAGCAGGAGACACACACAGCAAUGUAGCAAUGUACUCCUGAUGCGGCCGCACCCCAAGCAGACACACCUGCAGUGACGCAGAGAGCAGGCUUCACGGAUGGCCUAGGCCCUGGAGGCGGAGGCAGGACAACAAGGGAAAGUACCAGAGGAGGUUAUAGAUUAUGCGCCCAGGGAAGAGAAGACAAUGGGCGUUGUGAUGAAUAACCCAUCAAGGGUAAACCUGAACAAAGGUGCUGCUGACGGUAAACUCCCCCCAACCUCUAACAGGCAGGAGGUCAUGUGAUACAACUAGCGACACGCACUGCUCAGCAUAUGGGUGGAAAUCGGCAAUUUUUGCAUAUUCCUUUUUUUUUGCUUCAAUUUCGCCCAAUUUGAGCCCAACUCCCCAUCAGGCCUUUUGUUGACCUAGUAACAAAAUAAACCUCUAAACACA